UACGGGGGGGGCAAGCGUUGUUCGGAAUUACUGGGCGUAAAGGGCGCGUAGGCGGUUGGAUAAGUCAGCUGUGAAAACCACGGGCUUAACUCGUGGCCUGCAGUUGAGACUGUCUGGCUUGAGUGUGGGAGAGGAGAGUGGAAUUCCCGGUGUAGCGGUGAAAUGCGUAGAUAUCAGGAGGAACACCGGUGGCGAAGGCGGCUCUCUGGACCACAACUGACGCUGAGGCGCGAAAGCUAGGGGAGCAAACAGG
rnacentral:rRNA from 1 species